rnacentral:rRNA from 1 species
ACGAACGCUGGCGGCGUGCUUAACACAUGCAAGUCGAGCGGUAAGGCCUUUCGGGGUACACUAGCGGCGAACGGGUGAGUAACACGUGGGUGAUCUGCCCUGCACUUCGGGAUAAGCCUGGGAAACUGGGUCUAAUACCGGAUAUGACCUCCUAUCUCAUGGUGGGUGGUGGAAAGAUUUAUCGGUUCAGGAUGGUCCCGCUGCCUAUCAGCUUCUUGGUGGGGUAGUGGCAUACCAAGGCGACGACGGGUCGCCGACCUGAGAGGGUGAACGGCCACACUGGGACUGAGACACGGCCCAGACUCCAACGGGAGGCAGCAGGGGAGAAUAUUGCACAAUGGGCGAAAGCCUGAUACAGAGACGCCGCGUGAGGGAAGACGUCCUUCGGGUUGUAAACCUCUAUCAGCAGAGACGAAGCGCAAGUGACGGUACCUGCAGAAGAAGCACCGGCUAACUACGUG